rfam:Aneurinibacillus migulanus strain DSM 2895 scaffold5, whole genome shotgun sequence.
CUCUUAUCCAGAGAGGUGGAGGGACUGGCCCAAUGAAACCUCGGCAACCAUCGAAUUUUUAAGUUCAAAUUCGAGCGGUGCCAAUUCCAGCAGUGCAUGCGCGCUGAAAGAUGAGGG